GCAAGAGCACGUCUUGCCUCAUUUUGAACAUCUGCUUAGUCAAGUGACACCUUUUUCAAAACAGACUCCAGCACUUUGUGGUGAUUCCAGUCCCAGGGCUGACGUCUAAUGCCCCCUUUCCUGCGCAUAGCGCAGUGGCACUCCAUGUGCCUUCAUCUUGCCUGAUAUUACUCCCAGAUGCUUUAUAGAGUGUCUGUACGCCCCAAAAACAAAGAUGCACAGAAAACAGAGAGAAGUCAGUACAUUCAAGCUCUAUUUUUUCUACUUAUGUGCACACUCUUUGCAUCUCCAUCAUAAUUGCCUCAACUCCCUUUUGCAAAAGGACCUGGGAUAUUUGCAUUUUCUUUAUGCCAGCCAAGAUCCACCUCCCUGGAACACAAGCCCUGACAUACGAUAGGGGCAUUCUGCAUGGACAGAAAAGACUUAACACCUCUUGGACGGUGCUGCAAGCAGAGGAGCAGUAUCUCCAUGAAAGUCCUUCAAAGAACUUCAAGCCCAGCGUGACCUCUUUCUCCAAAUAUCCCCUUAUCCCAUGUCUGUCAUUAGAGGAUUCAGAUCAGCCUGUGCUGUGCAGUCUCCAGUACCGUCAGCCCUCACAGCUAACAUGGCAUGGUCCCAGAUGAGGUUUUGGAGGAGCCAAAGUGUCAUUAGAAGUUUCCUGCAACAAAAUCCUUGAACACACCAGGAAUGGAUUACACCUUAUGGCCAGCGGCAGUUAUGGAUUUUUGUGUUUACCUCCUUCAAAUACUUCACUGAUCCCAACCACACAUGCCUGCGGCAGAGAGAAGCAUCUUAUGUCGGAGGGAAAGCAAUGGACGGUGGUGCCCGCUAGACUGUGUAAGACACUGGGAGGCACUGUCAGCAUGGAGGAACAUAGUCAGGAAACCUGUGUUAACACAUGAGCUUCCAUGGGUAAAAGAAUUUUCAGUGAGGGCAACUGCACCCGCAUAGAUGCUCUCUCCCCACUGCUGGUGCAUUAGGGUCAGUGAGUGACACAGACUGGACCAGCCCACACCCAGGACCACUGCAGCAAUCAUGGCAGUUGAUGUGGAUGAGACCUGCUGUAGACAUCCUUCUGUUCAAACUGAACAAAAGACAACAUAUACAUGUUUUGCCCAUUCCUACACUGAACCCAGCGUUCACAAGGAAACUUUCUUUCCUAGGAGUGGAAGAGUAGUAUACUGGAUUCCUCAAUAUCUAACAGAAAACCCCAUGCUCUUGGCAUCAGGAACAAAAAAUAAGUCAUGUUGAUAUCUUUGGUGUUCUCCAAGUCAGAGUACAGGCAAGCAUCCAGUAUCCUGCUCUGCCUCGCAACCUCUAACACUUGCUGUGUUCACUAGAGAUCUAGCCCCACCCCUCAAACACAGAUCACCUGCCAAAGUACAGAGAACACUCUGCGUUCUUCAACCUCCAUUCACAGCUGGAGCCCUCGUCUUAGAAAUGGACAUGGUUCUGCAUGGCAAUUCCAGAUGGUCUGUCUGCUAGAAGAAAUUGAGCAACAGUGUGAUAGUCAAACAGCUAAACCGGGGCAAUGCAUUCACCACGGUUUGAGGAGAGCUGCUGCUCAAACAUCAUCCAGUGAGCACGACAGGGCAAAUCCAGGGGAACUUUCCUACCCAAUUACCAUUUCAGCACGUUACACUGAGGCCAGCUGCAUGAGGCAGUCCUUUGCCACUGCAGACUGCAGGGGAGUUGAAUUGUGCUGGCCAGGUGACCCUAAGGCCACUUUUCUGCCUGUACUAAGUCACCAUCUGCAGGUGGAGACGUGGUGGCCCACCCCAGCCUCUGACUACCAGCUUUGCAACAAUGCAUGAGUCUCAGCAACUCUUCAGUCAUUGAGAGAGGCCUCCCUUCAAAUUUACCUGGUGGAGAAGGCUGUUUUUUGAUGAGCAGAAUAAGAGGAUCCUCUACCUGUUGUGUAACCCCAGAAAAGACAUUCAUGUGGGGUGCACUUUACUCAAACACUUGCUGAAGACCAUGCCUGACAUCAGCCUUCCAGGAUACAGGCCAACACCAGGGACUCCAGAUGCGUGUGUGUUUGCUGGCUCAUCUGCAUGGUGCAGGUGGCCCUGUUACCCUCCACCAGCUGCCUGCCAGAACUAGCACAGCCCUGCUGGGAGGAUCACACGAACGUCUUCAUCUCUUCAGCCAGCAUCACUGGCACCGCUGCUACGAUCUGGAAAGCUACUGCCAACUACAGCUGAAUCACUACCUCUGUCGGCCAAGCUUCUGUGGCCAGAGGAGGAUGCUGGAGUGCAGACUUGUACUCCCUUUUCAAACUAGAUGAGGCCAUUCCCCCGCAAGGCUGUCAGAGCUAAUUCUCAGCAGCCCAGUGAGUACAUCUUACUUCAGAUGAAUGAUUGGCAUCCCAGAAGAAGGAAUGCACAGGACUUGUUCUUGUUGUCCUAUUUUUUUUUGUAUUCCUCUG